GAUGGACGCUGGCGGCGUGCCUAAUACAUGCAAGUCGAGCGAACGGACGAGAAGCUUGCUUCUCUGAUGUUAGCGGCGGACGGGUGAGUAACACGUGGAUAACCUACCUAUAAGACUGGGAUAACUUCGGGAAACCGGAGCUAAUACCGGAUAAUAUUUUGAACCGCAUGGUUCAAAAGUAAAAGACGGUCUUGCUGUCACUUAUAGAUGGAUCCGCGCUGCAUUAGCUAGUUGGUAAGGUAACGGCUUACCAAGGCAACGAUGCAUAGCCGACCUGAGAGGGUGAUCGGCCACACUGGAACUGAGACACGGUCCAGACUACUACGGGAGGCAGCAGUAGGGAAUCUUCCGCAAUGGGCGAAAGCCUGACGGAGCAACGCCGCGUGAGUGAUGAAGGUCUUCGGAUCGUAAAACUCUGUUAUUAGGGAAGAACAUAUGUGUAAGUAACUGUGCACAUCUUGACGGUACCUAAUCAGAAAGCCACGGCUAACUACGUG
rnacentral:rRNA from 1 species